UACAGAGGUCUCAAGCGUUUGUUCGGAUUUAUUGGGCGUAAAGAGCGUGUAGGCGGUUUGGUAGGUCCGUUGUGAAAACUCGAGGCUCAACCUCGAGACGCCGAUGGAAACCAUCAGACUAGAGUCCGGAAGAGGAGAGUGGAAUUCCCGGUGUAGCGGUGAAAUGCGCAGAUAUCGGGAGGAACACCAAUGGCGAAGGCAGCUCGCUGGGACGGUACUGACGCUGAGGCGCGAAAGCGUGGGGAGCAAACAGG
rnacentral:rRNA from 1 species